rnacentral:rRNA from 1 species
UACGUAGGGAGCAAGCGUUGUCCGGAAUCAUUGGGCGUAAAGCGCGUGUAGGCGGUCCGGUAAGUCCGCUGUGAAAGUCGGGGGCUCAACCCUCGGAUGCCGGUGGAUACUGUCAGGCUUGAGUACGGAAGAGGCGAGUGGAAUUCCUGGUGUAGCGGUGAAAUGCGCAGAUAUCGGGAGGAACACCAAUUGCGAAGGCAGCUCGCUGGGACGUUACUGACGCUGAGACGCGAAAGCGUGGGGAGCAAACAGG